rnacentral:rRNA from 1 species
AACGAACGCUGGCGGCAUGCCUAACACAUGCAAGUCGAACGAAGGCUUCGGCCUUAGUGGCGCACGGGUGCGUAACGCGUGGGAAUCUGCCCUUUGGUUCGGAAUAACAGCUGGAAACGGCUGCUAAUACCGGAUGAUGACGAAAGUCCAAAGAUUUAUCGCCAGAGGAUGAGCCCGCGUUGGAUUAGGUAGUUGGUGGGGUAAAGGCCUACCAAGCCGACGAUCCAUAGCUGGUCUGAGAGGAUGAUCAGCCACACUGGGACUGAGACACGGCCCAGACUCCUACGGGAGGCAGCAGUGGGGAAUAUUGGACAAUGGGCGCAAGCCUGAUCCAGCAAUGCCGCGCGAGUGAUGAAGGCCCUAGGGUUGUAAAGCUCUUUUACCCGGGAAGAUAAUGACUGUACCGGGAGAAUAAGCCCCGGCUAACUCCGUG